GGCCCCAAACGCAAAACAAAGUGGGGGGAAAAAUGCCAUUAUGUAAUGACAUUGGCGGGAGGGCUACACCGCAAAGUCUCCCCCUCCCCAGAUUGACACCCGUGCCUCCUCAAAGGCCCCUUACCCCACUAAUAUACAUCGUACAUCAACCGCACACUGGGAAGCCACCACAUGAUGGCAAUAUGAGCACCCCGGUGCUAUUUUGAGAAUGUUGAACUCCACUGCUGCGGCUUAAAUGACGGAGUCUAUGACCCAGGAGGCACCAAAGAAGAAGGUGGAAUGCAGCGCGAUCGACAGAUGAGCGCGUUGAUUUGCGACCUGACCUUGCUGUUUCACAAAGCAACUUUGACCAUUGAAGUGAAAAAAAAAACCCCACCCACCCCAAAAAAAACACGGACAUGUUUUUGUGAUGAAAUAGUAACUCUGUAGCAUUGUCGUGAAAAAAUGCGGCGAGGCAACAUUGAUGUCGACUGUUGAUGGAGGAAUUUCGGGAAAGGAUGAUUUCUUAUGUUUGAUUCUGCUUUUAUAUUGCAGUGGUUUUAUUUAGAAUGUAUGAAUAGAGAUGAAUUGUUUGCUUCGCAAGUGUUGAUGUGUGUUAAGGGUUAUGAAACGUGAACUGAAACGUGCUCAACUCAACAUGGGCCCAGGAGAUGACCAGAUAAGAGGAAAUCAACGGGAGUAGACCCUUCUGCAUUUCUCAAGAUAUGCUGAAUUCACGUAUCAAAAGUGCUUUGACGUAUAAAAAAUGAUUAUCAGGCUUAUGCACUUGCUGAGGAUGUGAUGAAAAUUUCAAUAUCGUGUACUUUGGAGUGAAAGUCAGGGUGGGGCCAGUUUGCUGAUACCCCAAACCUCCCCUGAGUGGCCUCACCUUCAUAUAACUCUUUAUCAAGAGCAGAUAAAAAGGGAGGGCAUAGGGAGAGAGGCUGUUUUAGGACAGACAGCUGAGAGAAUUGUCCUUUAAAUUUUCCUCGCAACAAAAAAAGGCAAAGAGACGUCUCCUCUCUUGUUUUCUGUAAGUGUAUAUUUGUCAAAUCAUAUGAUAAACCUGACAACUGUAAAGAAUGAAACAGAUUUGACAAAAUUUCUGUCUCCCUUUCAGAGGCCAUUUCUGCUGCUCCAUCUAGCAUUUUUCAAGACAAGCGAACAUAUUGUCAAAGGGCCAGUGACAAUGAAAACUGAUCAUAAAGCAACUAUAAGACGCCCCCCCCAAAAAAAAAACAAAAGCGUGUGACACUUUGCCCGAGCUCACUCAUGUCAAGCAAAGGCACGCACGUACGCUUGGACCAAUUGUUGCCGUUCAAAUAACACGGCAAUAACACGGCCGGCAAUAUACACAAGAGAACCUUUGACCUCUCGACCGCUGAAGCAAAACAACGUGAGCUCAAAUGCAUAACACCUGUCGUGCAUUGUUGAGUGUGUUGCUCACGUUGUCAGGUCAAAGCAGUUCAAAAGUACAUUUUGAAAAAAAA